rnacentral:rRNA from 1 species
GAUGAACGCUGGCGGCGUGCCUAAUACAUGCAAGUCGAGCGAGCAGACGAGGAGCUUGCUCCUUUGACGUUAGCGGCGGACGGGUGAGUAACACGCAGGUAACCUACCUAUAAGACUGGGAUAACUUCGGGAAACCGGAGCUAAUACCGGAUAAUAUUUCGAACCGCAUGGUUCGAUAGUGAAAGAUGGCUUUGCUAUCACUUAUAGAUGGACCUGCGCCGUAUUAGCUAGUUGGUAAGGUAACGGCUUACCAAGGCAACGAUACGUAGCCGACCUGAGAGGGUGAUCGGCCACACUGGAACUGAGACACGGUCCAGACUCCUACGGGAGGCAGCAGUAGGGAAUCUUCCGCAAUGGGCGAAAGCCUGACGGAGCAACGCCGCGUGAGUGAUGAAGGUCUUCGGAUCGUAAAACUCUGUUAUUAGGGAAGAACAAACGUGUAAGUAACUGUGCACGUCUUGACGGUACCUAAUCAGAAAGCCACGGCUAACUACGUG